rnacentral:lncRNA from 1 species
UUUUUUUUUUUUUUUUUUUUGAGAUUGGUUUUUGAAAAGCCACUUUAUUGUCAACGUGUAAUAUGCUCCAUUUCUCUUAAUAGAAGACAGUUCAUACUACUGAGAAUUUACUAUUAAGUAAAUAGCUGUCAACCACCCUUAAAUGAGGGUUUAGAUUUCACUGAAGCUUUUUUUCUUGUACACUAAUCACUGUGUUCUUAAGCUGAUUUGUUCAGCCACUAUCUAAUAUAACCGGUAAAAAAUAUAAAAACUUAAAUUGGUAUUCAGAUAUCUUCAUGUUUUUCUACUAGUUUAUUUUUCAAAAACAAACAUUGAAUGUCAAUUCCUGAAGGCAAUUUAAUUACUCUUUGUUAAAAGGCAGUAUUUUAGAUUUGGAGAUGUUAAAUUUUUUUUUUCUUAAAGAAGAGUGCAAAGUUUUGUAGUACUUCAGUUCCCAUCGCCCAUUAGAACACUAAGAACAAAGUGUUCCUCAGUCUGUUCUACUGGCCUUUAUUUGUAUUUGUUUUAGCACUUGGUUCAGCUGAUUCACUGAGUAAAAGAAUUGUUUUGCAAGGUGAAGCAUGUAGUAUUCCAAAGUAUGGUAAGAUUAUAGGUCAUGUUCUAUAUAGAAAUAUCAGAUCAUGACCACAGAGAGAUGAUAAGGCAUUGGAUCCCCUGUUGAAAUUUGUCUUUUUGGAAUCAACAAGGUACUUUCUGACUUCUAUGUCUUAUAUAAGGGAAUUUGAAAUAAUAUUAGUUAAUUCUCACUUUUUGUUGUAAUGGUUUUUGAGAUUUUUAGUUAAUCCAAAGAAAUAAUGCUUUUAAUUAGAAGCAAAGGUUUAUAGUGUACAAAUUGUAGGUUUAUCAAUUACCUCAGCAGGUAUCCUGCCAUGUAAUUAUUAGUGAUUAGUAUUAGUAAGCCAGUAGAUUUAGGUCUUCUGACUGUGCCCUUGGAUUUUGGCCUACCGUAUGUUAUUCAGCAAUCUCUUAGUAUCCAAAACGGGAGUAGAUGCUGCGGCCCCCUCUUCCUUGGCCUUUUAAGUCCCUUACCCUUUUCCAAUGAACAACACAGGAAAUAGAAAAAUCUCAUUUCUUGUUGAAGUCAGCACUGCUUAUUUGCAUACUCAGCAUUGGAUCGGUGAGUAGUUUUAUAAAAUCCACCUACCCCAACUCCCCUAAUUAAAACAAUCAUUCUUAAUUCAUACCAUCUGUAUUAAUAAUCUGCUGAAGAUGAUCCAAGGUUUUCAAGGUUUAUCAGUUUGAUCUUGAACUGAACCUGGAUGCUUUGUUUUAUUUUUCUCACAGUUCUCUCCUCCUUGAUAAAGCAAUAACACUGCUUUAAGUCUGUUGCCUAAUAGGCACGUCAUAGUCCUCUCUCGGAUGGUGAUUUUAUAGGAAAGUUUGUAUGCAUAUCACCCAGUCUAUCUUUUAAAAAAAUAAGAAAUUUAAAUGUAUGCUGGAGCUUAUGACAAUAUAUUGUGGCAUUUUAUUUUAAAAAUUGGGGAAAGUUGCAUAUUUUUUUAAAAGUAAGUAUUUGAGUAAAAAAAAAUUGAAGGUACUUUUUUAAGAAAAAAAAAUUUAUAUGCCACAGUUUACAUAGACAUUUCAGAUUUCAACAUGUACUCUUGGAUAUAAUGGUUUCUUUUAUUGGCCAAAAUGCAUGUAAAGCAUAUCUUUCAUCUUAGUUCCUUGUGUUUGCCUUCGUGGUCUUUUAUAUAUUUUUUAUUGUAUCUGAGAAAAUUAUCUUCAAAAAUAGGUCAAUUUGGAUAUAUUUGUCAUAAUCAUACUACAAAAUGUACAAAAUUAAGUUUAGCCCUUUUCUAGCAAGUAAUCUUUAAAGUCAAAAAUGCUGUUCUUUUAAAUUCACCAAAUUUGUAUGUGGGAAGGCACUGAAAUGAUUUUGUAAGUGCCACUGCAAUAUUCCCUUUCAGGUGUGGCCUAAAUUUCAGUCUUACGAAGGAAGUGCUUGUCUGCUCCUAGUCUGAAAAAUGUAGGCAUUUACUAUGUUUUAAAUCACAGUGAAACAUGUAUAUAAGCCUAUGAAAAUGGUAUGUGCAAUCUGAAAGCCUGUUAAUUUUCUAUGUAGACAUACACACGAAAGGGUUAAAUUUACAGCCUUACUAGUUCCUUGCUUCCAGUAUUUCAACUGGUCUCCUCCCCUCAUUAUUAUUAUUAUUCCUACUAUUACUACAACUAUUAUUUUUGCACAUAAUUAACUACCCUUCAAUAUGAUUCUUAAAGAAAAAGUGCUGUUUCUGUGGUAUUGUAUUCUCUAAAUAAUCAUAUUUAAUUUUUUAAAACAAGGUUGCAGUUUCUAAUUGUUCCGUUCCUGUGUUUUUUGCUGGUGUGUAUUAAAAGCAAGAUUUUCUUUUUCAUGGUUAUUUAAUACAUUAGCUGCCUGUAAAUAUUUCUUGUUAUAAUGCUCUGGAAUGUGUUGUAGAAGUUGUAUUAGAUUAGUUUAAAGCCUUGUUUGAAAGCCACAUUGUUUUGGUUAUUUCUAUUAAAUUAGAAAAUUGAAAAAGUUUGCAAA